CACGUAGGCGGAUCGAUCAGUCAGGGGUGAAAUCCCAGAGCUCAACUCUGGAACUGCCUUUGAUACUGUCGAUCUAGAGUAUGGAAGAGGUGAGUGGAAUUCCGAGUGUAGAGGUGAAAUUCGUAGAUAUUCGGAGGAACACCAGUGGCGAAGGCGGCUCGCUGGUCCAUUACUGACGCUGAGGUGCGAAAGCGUGGGGAGCAAACA
rnacentral:rRNA from 1 species